GAGUUCUUUUAUGUGUCUUCUUGGAUCUCGUCUAUGUAAAAGGAUUGGAUUGGGACUCAUUUGAAGCUUUGGUUAUAAAUCGUUUACACAACUUUUGGACAUUUUUCAUAGCUCUUUGGUUAGAUGGUAUAUAUUUUUGAAUUGGAGUAUUUAUUGUGUUUUGAUGAAGCAAUAUUGUACAUGGGAUCAUGCUUAUUGACUUAAAU
rnacentral:lncRNA from 1 species